rnacentral:rRNA from 1 species
UCGACGGCCCGGACUAUGGCGGGGAGUGGCAGACUGCUCAGUAACACGUAGCUAACCUACCCUCGGGACGGGGAUAACCCCGGGAAACUGGGGCUAAUACCCGAUAGGUAUGGAUUCCUGGAAUGGUGCCAUGCCUAAACGUAAGCACAUCCAUGUUUGUGUGCACGCCCGAGGAUGGGGCUGCGGCCGAUCAGGCAGUUGGUGAGGUAACGGCUCACCAAACCUUUGACCGGUACGGGCCAUGAGAGUGGUAGCCCGGAGAUGGGCACUGAGACAAGGGCCCAGGCCCUACGGGGCGCAGCAGGCGCGAAACCUCCACAAUUCACGCAAGUGAGAUGGGGUUACCUCGAGUGCCAUCUGAAGAAGGUGGCUUUUCCAUGGUGUAAUGAGCCGUGGGAAUAAGGGGGGGGCAAGACUGGUGUCAGCCGCCGCGGUAACACCAGCCCCCCGAGUGGUGGGGAUGAUUAUUUGGCCUAAAGCGUCCGUAGCCAGCUCGGUAAAUCUCUCGUUAAAUCCAGCGUCCUAAGCGUUGGGCUGCGAGGGAAACUGCCGAACUAGAGGGUGGGAGAGGUCAGCGGUAUUCCUGGGGUAGGGGCGAAAUCCAUUGAUCCCAGGAGGACCACCAGUGGCGAAGGCUGCUGACUAGAACACGCCUGACGGUGAGGGACGAAAGCUGGGGUAGCGAAUCGGAUUAGAUACCCGAGUAGUCCCAGCCGUAAACGAUGCAGGCUAGGUGUU